UACGUAGGGCGCAAGCGUUAUCCGGAAUUAUUGGGCGUAAAGAGCUCGUAGGCGGUUUGGCGCGUCUGCCGUGAAAGUCCGGGGCUCAACUCCGGAUCUGCGGUGGGUACGGGCAGACUAGAGUGCAGUAGGGGAGACUGGAAUUCCUGGUGUAGCGGUGAAAUGCGCAGAUAUCAGGAGGAGCACCGAUGGCGAAGGCAGGUCUCUGGGCUGUAACUGACGCUGAGGAGCGAAAGCAUGGGGAGCGAACAGG
rnacentral:rRNA from 1 species